rnacentral:rRNA from 1 species
UACGUAGGGUGCGAGCGUUAAUCGGAAUUACUGGGCGUAAAGCGUGCGCAGGCGGUCUGUUAAGUCCGAUGUGAAAUCCCCGGGCUUAACCUGGGAACUGCAUUGGUGACUGGCAGGCUUUGAGUGUGGCAGAGGGGGGUGGAAUUCCACGUGUAGCAGUGAAAUGCGUAGAGAUGUGGAGGAACACCGAUGGCGAAGGCAGCCCCCUGGGUCAACACUGACGCUCAUGCACGAAGGCGUGGGGAGCAAACAGG